rnacentral:lncRNA from 1 species
UGCUUUCCUCGUCGCGCAACAGCUACGCCUUCCGCCGACCGCCGCCCCCCAUGGCCGCCGCGCUCCUCCUCCCGUCGCGGGGCCGCCUCAGCGCCCGGCCGGGCAGCGGGAGACGCGGAGGCUCGGCCCCUCCAUCCGCGCCGCGGUUAUAAAUCCGGAGCCAUGGGGUCGCGCCGUUCUCCGAGCCGAUGCCGCCGUGCCGACGCUGACCCGGCCCUGCCCGUACCCGGCGGGAGGCGGGGGGGGGGGGGCGGGCGCCGCUCCUCACGGCCGCGCCACAGCGGCCCGGGGCCGGGCGGGGCGGGGCGGGGCGGGGCUGUGCCGCCCGCGCGCCUUAAAGGGGCCGCGGCCCUCCUGCGGUGCCGCCGCGCGCCGCGCCGUGCCGAUAAAGGGGGGCAGCGCGGAGCCCCCGAUCCGCCUCGCUUCUGCCGAGGAGUUUUUGCGCUCGGGCUGUCGGGCAUUCGUUUCCCUGCAGUCAGGGGUUUCGGUUCCUGGGGUCUUAGGGCGCUGCUGUAAGCAAAUCUAUUCAAAUUCAGGGUAGAACGCGCUGUGCAGCAAAGCCGUGUGCCCCACAGAUGGGUUUCCUGCCCUUAUUUCUAUGAUCGGGGGGCCACAGAGCCGAAGGCAGCAGGUCGGUACCGCAGCGGAACUGCGCGCUUUGAGCACCAGCACUGCCGUACCGCCGUCCCCGCCGUGCCCCUGCCCGGCCGGGCUGCCCGGAGCUCCGCAGCCCUGCCCUCAUUUCAGCGUACCGGCCCCGCUCAGACCCUGCCGUUGCGGUGUUUCCAAACUUCUCACGGAUGGCUGGAAGCCGAGAGCGGCUUUUUUUUUUUUUUCUCCCACGGAAAUCCCACGGGUGUUCGUGGCCCGAGAGCCGCUCGGCAGGGAACGCGGGGCCGGGUCUGGGCGCUCCCCCGGCAGGGGACGCGGGGACGGGGCUCUGUGCCACCCCGGCGGGGCAGUCCCGGUGCCGGCCGGCCCCGCACACCCGGGCCGGAUCGCGUCCAUCUCGGCGCGCUGCGGGGACGGCCGGCGCGGGUUUGAGUCGGCAAAAAUGGGAUUUCAUAGCUCGGCGGAGAGCCGGAGCCGCACCGCGUGCUGCCGGAGUAACCGCAUCGGGGUAACCGCAUCGGGGUAACCCUGCCCGCUCCCCGACCAAUGCAGAAUUCGGGGCGUUUUCUCGCUCGGGUUCACCUGAACUCCCCCAGGAAAAGCAGAGGGAUGCAAAGCAGCGCCACCCCGCCCUGAAACCGCCCUUCCAUGGAAAGCUUCGGGGAAAGUAAUUAAAUCUCCUGCGAGCCGCGGCCUGGAAGCGAAGUCAGCCUGUAAUUGCCUUUACCGGAGCGUCGGCCCGCGGGGAGCGAUGUGCGUGAAAAGCACACCGAGGGGGGAUCCCCACGAACGCGUGACCCAAACAAACCCCACGUGUCCCACCUGGGGGCUGCUCUGCUCCUUAAGUGCUGUCACUGCCUUAAGUGUUGCGUGGGGACAGCGGGCAGAUGGGCGCAGUGGGGUCCAGAGGGCCGUGGGGUGGGCAGGAGUGCGAGCAGCUCAGGGCAGCCCGCACAGCGAGGACCCACAGCGGGGCAUCACCUCUGCGUGGUGACAUCAAUAUCAGUUCCUAAGCUUCAGUGUCCAAUCGAGGUUAUCUCGCAUGCAAAACUCCCCACCUCUUCAAAUCUCUGAUCUGACAGGGUUAUAAUUAGCUUAUUACUGGCCAUACAUCUGCUAAUAACUUUUCCCUCAGCCCCGUGAAGUGAAUUAAGGAGCGCUAAUAAACCGUGGCUGUUAAUCCAUUUAUUCGCCUUAUGCUUUUCUCUGGGUGCCACCGCCAAAGCUCCAUCAUGCAGCCCUGUGCCCCCCACCCCUGUCUGUCCCCGGCCACCAGCGCUGGCUGAGGGCACACAGAGCAUCCUCAGCAGAGUGGGACGUCAGGAGAAACACGAGAAAGCAUUUCACAAGUUGAGAAACCUCAUAGGAUGGGAGCGCAGCUCCAUUUUCUCCAUGCUUCCCUAUUUUGGGAAGGUCCGUGACAAUGCUGGGACCCCCAAAAAUGUCACAUCUUAGGGACAACAAGCAGAAAUGGGGGAAAGCAGGCAGUAGGGUGUCAGACACGGGAUCGCUUUCAGCGCUGCCUGCUGCCCUUCAUGCCAGAGCAUCACUGGUGUCAGUCAUUAGCAAUAAGGAACGUGGGAUAAG